rnacentral:sRNA from 1 species
AUGUAAGGAUCUUUCGCUAAGCACGCGUAUGUCCUGUACGCAAUGCGAAAGCCAUCACAUCCUGUGAA